AGUUAAUGAGCCUCCUUCUGAGAGAAAGCAGGUAACGUUGCAGGAAAAAAGAAAGUCACCGCGACCUGUCGGCGUAAAGUGUAAAAAAACAAAAUACACAAUGAGUGAUUCGGAACAGCAACAAGAGGCUGAAAAGGUGUGUGAGCCUCAGUGGCCUGAAAAUGGAGAGGAGUGGAGUGAUGGAGAGGAUGGGACCAACAUGGACUGUGGGCUUCUGCAGGCCAUGGCAGAGGAAGAUGAGGAGAUAAACGUCUACAAUGA